rnacentral:rRNA from 1 species
AUUGAACGCUGGCGGCAUGCCUUACACAUGCAAGUCGAACGGCAGCACGGGUGCUUGCACCUGGUGGCCAGUGGCGAACGGGUGAGUAAUACAUCGGAACAUGUCCUGUAGUGGGGGAUAGCCCGGCGAAAGCCGGAUUAAUACCGCAUACGAUCUACGGAUGAAAGCGGGGGACCUUCGGGCCUCGCGCUAUAGGGUUGGCCGAUGGCUGAUUAGCUAGUUGGUGGGGUAAAGGCCUACCAAGGCGACGAUCAGUAGCUGGUCUGAGAGGACGACCAGCCACACUGGGACUGAGACACGGCCCAGACUCCUACGGGAGGCAGCAGUGGGGAAUUUUGGACAAUGGGCGAAAGCCUGAUCCAGCAAUGCCGCGUGUGUGAAGAAGGCCUUCGGGUUGUAAAGCACUUUUGUCCGGAAAGAAAUCCUUGGCCCUAAUACGGUCGGGGGAUGACGGUACCGGAAGAAUAAGCACCGGCUAACUACGUG